rfam:Gossypium raimondii Chr10_contig_21, whole genome shotgun sequence.
UGUUAAAAAUUUCAUCCAUUUAUAUUGUUAAAAACUGGCAUGGCUGACAGAAUAACCAAACAGUAACACAUGAUAUGCCACAUAUACCUUGUGUUGACAUACAAAGACUAAUUUUUAACAAUAGAAAUACAUGUAAAUUUUAAAA